UACGUAGGGUGCGAGCGUUAAUCGGAAUUACUGGGCGUAAAGCGUGCGCAGGCGGUUCGUUGUGUCUGUGGUGAAAGCCCCGGGCUUAACCUGGGAAUGGCCAUGGAAACUGGCGACCUAGAGUGCGGUAGAGGGUAGUGGAAUUCCCGGUGUAGCAGUGAAAUGCGUAGAGAUCGGAAGGAACAUCCGUGGCGAAGGCGACUACCUGGACCAGCACUGACACUGAGGCACGAAAGCGUGGGGAGCAAACAGG
rnacentral:rRNA from 1 species